GAUGAACGCUGGCGGCGUGCCUAAUACAUGCAAGUCGAGCGAACAGACGAGGAGCUUGCUCCUCUGACGUUAGCGGCGGACGGGUGAGUAACACGUGGAUAACCUACCUAUAAGACUGGGAUAACUUCGGGAAACCGGAGCUAAUACCGGAUAAUAUAUUGAACCGCAUGGUUCAAUAGUGAAAGACGGUUUUGCUGUCACUUAUAGAUGGAUCCGCGCCGCAUUAGCUAGUUGGUAAGGUAACGGCUUACCAAGGCGACGAUGCGUAGCCGACCUGAGAGGGUGAUCGGCCACACUGGAACUGAGACACGGUCCAGACUCCUACGGGAGGCAGCAGUAGGGAAUCUUCCGCAAUGGGCGAAAGCCUGACGGAGCAACGCCGCGUGAGUGAUGAAGGUCUUCGGAUCGUAAAACUCUGUUAUUAGGGAAGAACAAAUGUGUAAGUAACUAUGCACGCCUUGACGGUACCUAAUCAGAAAGCCACGGCUAACUACGUG
rnacentral:rRNA from 1 species